rnacentral:rRNA from 1 species
UACGAAGGGGGCUAGCGUUGCUCGGAAUCACUGGGCGUAAAGGGUGCGUAGGCGGGUUUUUAAGUCAGGGGUGAAAUCCUGGAGCUCAACUCCAGAACUGCCUCUGAUACUGAGGAGCUCGAGUCCGGGAGAGGUGAGUGGAACUCCGAGUGUAGAGGUGAAAUUCGUAGAUAUUCGGAAGAACACCAGUGGCGAAGGCGGCUCACUGGCCCGGUACUGACGCUGAGGUGCGAAAGCGUGGGGAGCAAACAGG